CCGGCCACUCCCUGCCCCUGUGCUCCCUCUGAGAAAUACUGCUCCCCACCUCCUGGCAGAGACACUAGGCCCACCUCUGCCUGGAAGAGCAAAGAGAAGGCGAAGGGAGGUGGCAGAGAGAAUCAGAGUUCAGACCCACAGGACACCCAACCAAGAUCCAAAGUAUAGCAUGGAGAGUAACGACACAGGAAGUGGGAGAUUUUAGGGAAAAAAGAAACCUAUAAAGUUCAACAGCAAAAUGUUCCUUUUCCACUGAGUUUCUGAGGGAGGCAGACCUAUGAGUCAUCCUGCAUUGUAAUGAAGCAGACCGAAAAUGCAUUCUGAACACCUUCAACAGGCAAAAUUUUUGGAGAAAAGGUGUACUUUGCCCAAGUGCACGAUAAAUAUUUGCUGAUUUGAGGGGAAGAUGGUAUGUAAAUAUAGUCUUCCCUGAAAAAGGAGACUUUUCCUUAUCUAAAGGAAAAAGCCCAGGAUAGAAGUAUGAACUGGAUUUGAAUUCACAGUUUGCCUACUGCAUAUUCCUGGGAAAGUUACUUAACUUCUCUGAAACAUAGUCUCCCCAUCCGUAAGACGAGGAAAAUAAUAUGGACCUCUACAGUUGUUGUCAAGAGUAAAUGAAAUAAAAAUAUGUGAUACUCCUGGCGCAUA